GCGAUAACACCGCAAAGUUGUUUCUAACAGAGAGGGAAGAGAAGAAAGAGAAAUAAAAUAAAAUAAAAUAAAAUCAAAACGCGCGCUCGCAUCUCACUCCGCAUUUUCCCUCGUUUUCUAGGAUCUCCACUCUCGUUUUUAUCUGUAGGGCCGUUCCAUUUUCUCGCUUCCCCAAACAGCCUUCCGAAUCCACUAACAAUGAGUAACGACGAGAAGGAUGCAUUUAACCUCCCUGCCGCCGCUGCCGCUCUUAGUGCUUUGGAUCGCGCUGACCUUGUUAAUGCUCUCAAGAAUAAACUUCAAAGCUUAGCUGGACAACACUCGAAUAUUCUUGAUUCACUGUCACCCAUUGUCAGGAAGCGCGUUGAGUUUCUAAUAGAGAUUCAGAGCCAACAUGCUGAGCUGGAAUCAAAGUUUAAAGAGGAGAGAAGGGCAUUAGAAGCUAAAUACCAGAAACUUUAUGAACCACUCUACACAAAGAGAUAUGAGAUUGUGAAUGGUAUAGAAGAUGUUGAAGGAGUUAUAGAUGAAGUUGCAACAAACCAAGAGGGGGAUAAAGCUACAGAAGAGAAAGGAGUGCCUGAGUUCUGGCUCACUGCAAUGGAAACUAAUGACGUAGUGGGUGAGGAGAUAACAGAACGGGAUGAAGGGGCUCUAAAGUUUCUUAAAGAUAUCAAAUGGCAUAGAAUUGAUAAUCCUGAAGGUUUUAAGCUGGAGUUUUACUUUGACAGUAAUCCUUACUUCAAAAAUUCUGUCCUGACAAAGACUUAUCAUAUGAUUGAUGAUGAUGAUCCUAUUUUGGAGAAAACAAUUGGGACCGAGAUUGAAUGGUAUCCUGGAAAAUGCUUAACAAAGAAAGUCCUGAAGAAGAAACCAAGAAAGGGAUCAAAUAAUGUCAAACCCAUCACCAAAAUUGCGAAUUGUGCUAGUUUCUUCAAUUUCUUUAACACUCCUAAUAAGGAAGAUGAUGACCUGGAUGAUGAUGCUGUAAGGUUGAGGACAUCCGUGAUAGAAUGGAACAAGAUUACAAUGUUGGUACUACCAUUCGGGACAAAGUUAUUCCUCACGCUGUAUCAUGGUUUACGGGGGAGGCUGUUGAUGAUGAAUCAAAUGUAGAUGAUGACGAUGAUGAUGAUGACGACGACGACGAUGGUGACGACGACGAAGAAGAUGAAGAUGAGAAUGAUGAGGAUGAGGAGGUUGAUGAAGAAAGAAAAAGGGGCAGGAAGAAGAAGGGUGCAGGGGUAAGAACUAGGGUAAGUCAGCAAAGUGCUCGUGCUCCAGAAUGCAAGCAACAGUAGUAAUAAGUUUUGAAGCAAACUGUGAUUGGACAGUGGCAGUGCAGUAUCAGAAGUGGCCGAGUCGAUGAAAGUUUUGGUGCUUUUCCCCCCUCCUCUCUUUCUUUCUUUCUUGCAUUAUGUGCAUAGGUUUGAUAAUUUUUUUCUUUUACAAUGUUUAUUGUUUUAGUCCUACCAUCUAUAUUGGGCAUCAAACCUUUGGAUUCUAAUUUUACAUAUAUUCUAAACUCCAGAAAGUAUACCAAUGUAUUUGUUUUCAAUUGGUGGUUAUUAUGGUCUAAAAAUCAACGUUUUUAUCUC